rnacentral:rRNA from 1 species
CCUACGGGUGGCAGCAGUCGAGAAUCAUUCACAAUGGGGGAAACCCUGAUGGUGCGACGCCGCGUGGGGGAAUGAAGGUCUUCGGAUUGUAAACCCCUGUCAUGUGGGAGCAAAUUAAAAAGAUAGUACCACAAGAGGAAGAGACGGCUAACUCUGUGCCAGCAGCCGCGGUAAUACAGAGGUCUCAAGCGUUGUUCGGAAUCACUGGGCGUAAAGCGUGCGUAGGCUGUUUCGUAAGUCGUGUGUGAAAGGCGCGGGCUCAACCCGCGGACGGCACAUGAUACUGCGAGACUAGAGUAAUGGAGGGGGAACCGGAAUUCUCGGUGUAGCAGUGAAAUGCGUAGAUAUCGAGAGGAACACUCGUGGCGAAGGCGGGUUCCUGGACAUUAACUGACGCUGAGGCACGAAGGCCAGGGGAGCGAGAGGGAUUAGAUACCCGUGUAGUC